AAUGCUUCAAUAAACAUAUUGUGGUGGUUAUUAUGUAUUCAAGAAUAUCAAGUCAUGUUAGUUUCCUUCUAUCGAGUCUUGGGGGUACUUGUACCCAAAAUAUUAGCUGUGUGCCUAGAUCCAUGUCAUGUUUUCAUGAUACUCUUAGUCAAGCUAUGAACUCUUAGACUUCAUAUAGUCUUAUAACUCAGGAAAAAUCUUCAUGAUCUCAUGACUCAGUCAGU
rnacentral:lncRNA from 1 species